GGCCCCGCCAUGUUUAGCGCGGCGGAGCUCCGCGUAAAGAGAGAGAGGAAAAAAAAAAAAAAAAAAAAGCCCCGCGGAGCUCCGUGCCCGCCUCGAUGUCCGCAUUCCAGCUCAUGUUGCGCAGAUAAAAUUCAAACUUGAGGUUUUCAAUGACCAUUCUGUUACUGUAACCACCAUGGAUGCGAACGCUGUGGUGAUAAAGGCUUGCUAUUUUCUCCUACUGGAUUCCUCAAAUCCAAGAGCUACUCAGCAGUUUCCAAGGCAACCACCUGUGGAAUAAUUAAAAAGGAUGAAGUGUUAGUGUGCCAGAUGAAUGGAAUUCUUGCCUGGAGAGAGCACUUCAUUUUCAGCUGUUCUGAAGAAUCAAAUGUGAUUCUGCCAGCACAGUUCAGAGGACGAAAUGAUGUCUGAGUUGCCAUACAAGCAUCCAGGGACAAUCCAAAAAGUAAGUCAGUCAAACUAAGUAGUCUUUUUUUGAUCUUAUGUAUAAAACAUAUAUUGAGAGGACAAUUAGUUUUCCUUCUUUCUUUGACUGUCAGUGAGGUGCAUUUUGUAGAGCUGUUUUGAGUUAGCUGGUUUCAAGUCUUGUGGCUGAGGGUGAGAUGCAUUUAGUAGAUAGUUUCUCAUUGCUGUGUCAAGAUACUGCUCAGGACUGUGUCCUGUAAUUUCAUUAUUGCUUUUCUUAGAGCCCUGAUGGCCCAAAGAUGUAGAGAGAAGAGGUUUGUGGGGAAACAUGUUAUCUUAAGUCAUUUCUGAUAAAACUUAAGGAUUCAGAGGAACCUGCAGAUAUGUAAGAAGGGUGAGAGAGGGUUUGGAGGUUACGAAAACAUGAAGUUCUUCAUACUACCCGUCGGUGUAAGGAGAAUUUUAAACUUCCUUUAAGACUGAUAAAUAUUUUUGAAUAUAUUGAGAACGUUUAUUUGGAGUACUGUAUGUGUUUGCAGUUUAGCACAGGAGUUUCUUCCAUUGUGGUCAGUGAAGGAAAACACUUUUCGAUGGUGCUUCAGAUAGCAAGCCCUACAACUCAUCUUUCUGACCCACUUGUAUUAGUUGCUGGGGAUGUGUGCUUUUAACUGUCUUAAACAGACCGCAUACUACAUGAUUAAAAACAUCUACCCAGCAGUUAGAAUAAUACCAGGUUUUUUUAUUACGAAUUUGGUUUCAAAGUGGCCUAACAAGUGAAUUCAUUAAAAGAUCGCAUGAGGUUUUCUGUGUACUGUUGAGUCAAAUGAUCUGUGUCUGCAGAACGCAUCUCAAUUUAUUUCAUUAUGGGAUGAGUAUGUUUUUAAGGUGUAGGUUUUGAUACUGUUGAUGCCUUCAGUUUGUCAAACAGUCGUGUGGUUCUUCAUUAUUUUUCUAUUAGUCACGUGAAUGUAAUUUUACUAUCUAUGUUUUUUUCGUCUAAUAGUGUAGGCAGUUUUACAGACUGUCUUUUUAGAGGCACUUUCUAUUUAAAAGAAAAAGAAACAUUAAAAGAAAAAGUGGUGUGAAGAAGCAUGUGUCAGGCAUAUGCAAUUCCUCCAGCAUCAUGUUUUCCACACUGAUUUAAUAGCUGUUGAUUCUCUUCAAAUGUUCUUGUUUCCAAGACCUGUUUUACAGUAAUAAAUCUUCUUGGCUGUAAAAUUCUUGAAAUGAUUCAGUGGGAUGAUUGUUUCCUUAGCACAUUCCCUGAGUGCUCAUAGUUAAAAAUGGAAAAGUUCCUAAGCGGGUCAUUUUUUUUUUUCCCUGCAAUAUGUGUCGUUGAUUCUGAAAACUACUGUCAAUACAAUCACCUGUGUUGGCCCUGGCAAACCACUGUUUGCCUCGUGCUCCUUACUAUCCUGAUUUCUCUUGGUAAAUUAUGGUAAGUUUUUUGCUAGAGUGCCCUGUUGAACUAUGUUAAGAAAUGCCUAGCUGGACAAAGGGGGGAAAAAAUGUUGUGGCAUGAUUUGAUACGGGUCUUCAUUUAAAAAAGUAGAAAAAAACUUACUGAAAUUUAUACUUAGUUUAGUAAUGAAAAUUGCUAAGGGCUUCCUUAAUUUCCCUAAGCAUUUGCACACGAGGCUGGUGGAAGGUGUGGUGUGUGCAGCAGGCUUUUUGACACAUCGUAAGAGAAGAUUCAUCCAGGAUAGUUUUUAACAUCUUCCUUCUACUUACAGUCAGUGCCAUUUGUAGUUUUUAGGCUCUGAAGAUACAUGGAAAGUCCCCCAACAGUGAGCUGCUUCAAUAUGUGGUCUGUUGUGUUGUCAGCUUGCAUUUUAUUUGGGUUUGCCAUCAGAGUAUCUUUUGGAAACUGCAAGCUCAUAUGUUGGAAAAAUCCAAAAUGAAUGCUGAAGUCAUUGAUGUUGAUUGCAAUUUAAUAAAUCAUCAGACAUGCAAGGGUGAUAAAUUUUGUUAUGCUUGGUCUGUUUGUCUCCAGAGGGUGGCCAAACAUUGUAUAAUCUCUGUGGCUUUCUGACAGCUGGAGAAGACUGUUAAAAUCAGCACUUAGUUACUGGGAGCAGAUAGGAGGCCUGUGAGUUCUGUCUAUUGGGUUUGCCAAGGCAGGCCAUUCAGUAGCUCAUUGGGAAUGUCAUGUGUGCAAAGACAAGGGAGAGGUGCAUUUGCCAAAAUUCUGCACAGCUGGGGGAUCUUCUUUGGAUGAGAACGCCAUGUUAUACUGUGAAAUACAGAAUACCUUGGUCUUAAAAUCUGUAGCUUUCCAAAGUACUGUUGUUUUUCUGAUGUUUUCUUUGCUCUUCUCUCAAGGUUUUUAGCAGAUGUAUUAGAUCUGUUCUUACCUUUGUUUUGAGGAAAAAAAAAGAUCCUUGCAUUUGUAAUUUCAUAUAACCAGUGCGUUUUAAUCAGGUGCUUUCAUGGCAAGGUGUAAACAUUACUGUUUUCAAUCUUGUUCUUUGUAGUAAUGCAAAAUAUCCUUUCUUGUAUUUGUAGCUACUGUUAGUUACAAUAGGGAACAACUUCUUCACUUGAAGGUGGGCUUAAAAAAUGUUGAAAUCCCACAGAGUUUAAAUAAGAAUGCCAUGUUUUGUGUUGACUCAUUCUUGUUAAUGACUUGUAGAAGAAAAGGUAAUACUGGGGACCAUUUUUCAUGAGUGUAUGUGUAUGCACACUUUCAGAGUCAGCAGAAGUCUUAGCUGUCAUAGUUCUCUUUUGAACUGUUGAUCAGUUAUGUCAAGACCUGGGUGGUCUAAUAAAUUGACAGGGUGAUGGGGGAGCCCUUUCUCAGCAGCUCGAGUUCAGCUAACUUGGGUACCUUUGAGAAAGACUCUUAGUUUUGAUCUUCACUUGCAAAGUGAGGAGACCAUGCCUACUUUAGACCUAAUACACAUCAGCAUUUUGACUUUUCAGAAGCCUGACAGCAGGCAUCAGGAGAAAGCCUGCUCCUUGCACGUGUGCAAGCAAAUGGAUUUCAUGGGAUGUUGUGUGCCAUUCCAUCUGGCAGCUGAGGACAGUGAAUGACAAGGAUGGUUUGCAGAGAAGAGUACAGCCAGUAAUGGUCAAGAAAAGCCAUUUUCCUCAUCAGACAUUGGUCAUCUUAUAGGGAGAUUGACUAGCAUAUGGCACAGGGGGGAAACAAACCACAAAGAGGUCAGUGCUAUUGGACGUGUGUGAAGUAGCCAUUAACAUAGGCAGUAAAUAUUCAAAAAGAAACUCUUCAUUUGACAGUGCAGUCUUCUAGAUGACUUGAAAAGAUAAAAACGCACCGUAUUUUUAAAAGAGCACUUUUAAUUUUUGUCAGAUGUGAAAGUACCUGUAAGUUUAAUGUGUGCUUUACAAAUAGAGCAGCAUGCUAGGGCCAGUUAGUAGAUUUGCAUUUUAUGAGUUGGCUGUGGUAUAAUGGCUUCAUACACAAAAUUCAGGCACCACCAUUAGCACUGGGAAAUUUUUAUGCUCCAGUAUCACAUGAAUAGAGUUGUGUGGUGCUGAGUGCACUUCAUUGGUGUAAACAAUGGGCACUUAAGCAGUUUUGGAUUCUCUGCCUGCAGGAAGCAGGGUUCUCUCAGCUUCUCUUCUCCUUUUUCAUAGUAAUUCAGCUGCUACACUGAGCAGAGCUUUCUGUAAUCCCAAUCCCCUGCCCUGCAAACAAAACAAACAAAAAAAGAAGUACCAUCUUGGAAUGUUAUGCAGCUGUAUUAAGAAGACCUGGCAGAUAUAUAUCAAGCUAAGUGAUAAAUGGCAUGUGUUCCUGCUUUCCUGGCCUCUGUCUGUUAAAUCAGUCUGCUUAAUACUUCAAAACCUGCAGGUUUCUGAAGACUUCUGAUGUUUGAAAUGGGAAGACACCUGGCAGCAAAACCUUUUCCCCAUAUUUUUUUUGUUCUUCUAAUGACUUGCCUUAUAAGCAAGAUAAAAUAUACUUGGUUUUGGACUUUCAUUUAAAAACUGGAGUUAAUUCAGAAGUUUAUUUUUGGUGCUUUGCAAGCUAAUAAAAUGUAUGUUUGAUAAAUGAGCUGUUCGAUAUCUGACUUGCAGUGUUGUUCACUGAUCCCUCCCUCAAUUCUCUCCUGCAAACACAUGCACAGACAAACACCCAGGGAGAAAUGGAGGAAUGUAGCAUCUUAAAUGCACCGUUACUUCUGUUUUUACAAGUGCCUUGAUGUUGAUCUCUUGAUGUUGGUAAGAGUGAGCAGUGGGCAUAGGAUGAUCAUUUUUAAACUUCUUUCUGUGGAGAUGCUGGUUUAAAAAAAAAAAAAUCUUAUUUGAAUAUUUUUGCAUUGAUAACACCUUUUCUUAACACGAAACUCAGAGAUUAACAAAUCAUUAUCUGACUUAAUUUAGGUUUUAUUUUCCCCUAACUGAGGUUGGUUUCUAUAGCUCAGGGUUGGGAACCUAUAUAUCCUAAAAGGCUAUAUAUGACUCACAGCUGUUUCAUACAGCCUAUCAUAUUAUUUUUUCACAUUAAGAACAGUACUGACACAGUUGUUAACAUAUGGCCACAGCCUGCCAAAUAUGUUUAAAAGCCUUGACCCUUAGCUAGAAUAAGAUUUCCCUGAAGUUGCUAUAAAUUGUUGUCACAACCUGUUUUCACUUGAAAAACCACCAAGAGUUGGUGAGCCUUGCAUGUGCUGUGCUUCUCCACUGUCAUGGGAUGGAGGGAGAGAAAUCACUGCUCCAGAAUUUAGACAUUAAGGGAUGCAGCCUGUUCAGUUUGAGCUCUGAAAUCACUGUUCUGGCAUUCUUGAGCUUGCAGUUUUAUUCAUCAUAUUUAUAUUACACAGUUCUGUUUGUUUUGGGCUUUGAGUCUCGCAUGAAGGUAAUGGGGGUUGGGGGGGGGGGGGGGAAAUAUAACACAGCAGGAAAAAAAGUGUCUUGUGAAAACACCAGAUUAUUACUGAUUCAGUAGAGGUGAACAUGCAUUCCUUUCCAUUCGUUUCAGCAUCUCUGCGGUGGGACUGAGGUCUGUCUCAUCUUCUGUAGAAGAAAUGCUUCCCCUUCCCUGUCACCCAGGCUCCUGUGGUGUCAUGGCUCCUGCCCUUUCACAGAAAAUCAUUCUCCUUAGUCCUACCCUCCAGAGCAGGUAGCUAACAGUUGAGGCUGGAAAAUUACCUUAGGACCCUUCUGGAGACAGUAAACUCUUGAAGAGGUCAUCAGAGCCAAGUUGUCUUCUUAGUAUGGAACCAGCCUUCCUGUGGCAGGACAAGGUGGCACAGAGUGAUGCAAUGAGGAGAUGAAUGUCUUAGUGGGUUUAUCUGUUGCAGAUGAAUCAGAGAUUUUCCGUCACUCAUGAAUUUAAAUGUUUAUUGUUGCCAUUAAUCUAACAUCAGAGUUUAAAUACCUCACGUGGCUUUUAAAAUACAUGUCCUAAUGUUGCUCAUGUCCAUAUGAGCAGUAAUUUGCCGUUAGAUUCAAAUUUAGUAUUUUCUUCCCUUGUCUUUGAUUUGAAACUGUUAAAUCUUGUAUUCUUUGUAUAGAGGGGGAAAUAACUAGUGAGAUGACAUACAAAGAUCAGGCAAAAAUCUGCAGAGAUGGAGCUCAGAAAUAAUGCUUUAAACUGCAUGGAAGACCUUGUGGCUGCAGUGCAAAGUAGGACUUUUAGAAACACUGUUUGCAAAAGCCAAUAGGGAAAGCCACGAAACCUGGUUCUAUUCCUCAUCUAUUGUAUAAACUUGAAGAACUUGCUUUGUAGUUUCCUUCUGUUUUCCUGUUACCAGUGAAUGUUUUAAUUGCUCUUGUUAAAGCUCUUCAGCAUAAAUCUUGAAUUGAUAUCCUUGCAGACUUAAAUAAGUUUAAUUACAGUCCCUUUCCUCCUCACCCAUGCUUUCCCAAAACAGGAAUAACUGGACUGUUUUUUUUUCCCAAAUUGUACGAUUGACUGAUGUGUUGCAGCUGCUGAAGGUAGGAUUUCCUAGUCCAGAUAUCCAGUGAUCAGCUUCAGAUUAAGAAAACAAUUGGAUAUGUGACGUCCCCAAUUUUGUUAGGAAUGUGCUCUGGCACAAGGCAUUUCCUUAUUCAUUUUAUGUAGCAAGCAGUCCUGUGCAGGCUGCUUUAUGUUAGUGUUGUCUAACCUUACCCUCAACCAACUGGAGCUUGGUGCAUUGUGGACAGAUGCCUUACCUGUAGGCUACUGAAGAGGGAAAUACAGUUUAUAUCACUAGAAAGCACUAUGUCAGGCUCAGUGUUGUACUUGGCAUUGUCUGUUUGCAUGGCAAAGCACAGUGUUCCUGAUCUCCUCAUCACAUCCUUAGACUGCAGGAACUGCUGCAGCAGUGGACUGUCAAGAGGCACAGCAAAUAUCGCCUUUGGUGUGCCCAUAAGCAUUUUGGCCAGUGUUCUGCUUCUGAAAAUAAAAGAAGUGAAUUUGAGCAGGCAUUCGGCUCUGGCUUACCAUUAAUGCAUUAAUCCCUGGUGUGGGGCUGAGGAAGUAGCUCAUAAAAACCAAAACUCGUUGGAAUUUUGGUUCUGUGCUGCUUCAUUGGCCUGGCUGCAGCUGUACCAUGGUAGGCAUCCACAUUCUGUCACUAAAGUGAGCACACUCUCCUGAAGAAUGGGUACUGAGCACUGCUAUGCUUUGGUUCAGGGAUAUUAAAAAUCAUGCAGUGUGAAUAGAAAUUACCCUUUUUUUUUAAUUAAUGUAUACAUAAUGCAGAAGAGAUGAGACAAGGAUUCCUUCUAUCUGAUUGGUCCUAUUGCUGUCCAGAUUUCCUUGCUGUUGUCUUCCCUCAUGCAUAUUUGGACAGAGAUAUCUCAUCUUCCUUCUGUGAUGCUAGAAAUGCAUGACUGUGGAAACAACAAAUUUUCUUGACCACUUUCUGCUUUUGAGAAGCCAUUCCUGCUCUUUGAAUCCAGAGCCAUCCUUGUCUUUCCUGAAAUACAUAUCUAUAAGGAAUUUAUUUUAAUUAGAGAGCUACAGGAAGCAGAAUUCCCAUCCUGUGGGAGUCUUGUAUCCGAUUUUUGUGUUUUGAAUUGGAGAGCUUGGACUACCCACCCCAGGACUGGCAGGCAGCCGAGCAGGAAGCUGGACGGACUUGUUGCCUUUCAAAGAGCAUUUUGAUGGAAUCGGCACAUUUCCAUGCGAUCCAUGUUUUGCAAUGUAAAGGUUGUUGUGUUGGGGUGUUAUUUUGUGCAGUUCUGUAGUUGUAGUUUUAACUAGUUACUUCUGGGAAAUCGUUGGCUAAUUUUUGUUGCUGUCAGAGUCAGUCUUCCACAGAAACAUGAACUCUCUUCUCACAAGGAAACCCACAUGGAAGGAUGUUCUCCUUCAACUGGUGUGAAGGAGCUCUCGAUGCAUAUCAGUAUAGAUAGGUGAGCUGCCAGACCUUAUGUUCCCUGUCUAUGUCUCUCAUGACAGUAACUGACAAAAUUGGUGCUAAAUGUUUCAUAUUUUCUUGUAAUAGUUUGUGCUGGUGAAAUCUAGGCCCUGCAGGACACACAGUUCAUGCAUCUUUUGGUGGGGCCAGGUGCUAAACUAGGAGUGGUCAAUGGGGAGCCCAGCUCAGGGGAGGCCAGUUCAGCCUGGAAAGCAGUGUGGAAGUGCACUACAUUAAUACAGCUUGUGCUUUGUCAGGACAUUACUGUGCUCUCAUUUCACAGAAGUCCUGCAAAUAGAGCUUGGCAGCAUGGUGCACAUAUUUGAAGCAGUUUGUGUUGUCUUUUUAAACCAUAUAAAUAAAUCGCACUUGACUCUUCAGGUCAUCAAUCUCCUGCUCAAAGUAAGGCUGCGCAUGAAACUAGAUGAAGCUGCUCAAUGCUUUUACUAAUUGAAAAUCCCCAAGAACUGAGAGCUGAUAGCCUUUCUAGCCUCUUCUUCUACAGUUUGCUCAUUUUCACACUGAACAAUUUUUUCCUUACGUCUAAUCAGAAUUCACCUCGCUGCAGCUUGCAACUGUGGCUUUUUGCCAUUUGGCUGUGUGCUCCUGACAAGUUGUAUGUCCUCAGUAACCCCCUCUAGGUAAGCAAGGGCGCUAAUAAAGGAUUUCGGCUGAUAACAAGUGUUCUGUGUGUUGCAAGGAUCCAGGAGUUGUCUUUUGAGAACGCUUCCUCUCUUUGGGCAUGGAAGUGGUAAGAAGCAUCAGAAUCAGAUUCUCAAGAUACAGCCAUGUUAUCAAAUGACGCUGGCAUUUACUGGACUUCUGUAACAUCUCAUCCAACAUUCUUCAAAUCCACUGGCACGACUGAACUAGAUGUCUAGCACUUAAGACAGAUCUAACUCAUCUUCACUCUAUUUCUAGUUUUUUUAAAUAAAUGAAUUCCCCUCCUUAGGAGAUUCUUUGCAUUUUGAAGUUGUGAGCUUACGUUGAAUCACCAGUUCAGCAGUUCAAUGUAAAUAAUUUCAAGUAGUGUCAUAACUCAGUUGCUUAAGUAGUUGCUGCCUUCGGAGGAAACAUGAGUGCAGCAUUGGUUCUUGGGAGAAACUAACCUAGUGGCUUUUGAGUAUGUCCUGGGGAUGAAUUUGUUAUUUAUGAAGCAUUACAAAUUGUAUCAUUUCAAAUGAACUGGUCCUAAACGUAAUUCCUUAAUGGCUGGAUACAUCUGAAAAUGCAGGCAACUUUGUGUUUUUAAUUGUUGGCUGUUGGAGCUUCAGUGUUUGCACAGUCACUGUGUGAAAGCUGUAUGCAUAAAUCCCAUCAGAGGGAAACACAAAAAUAACCAAGAACACCAUUAGAAAGAAGAAAGAAGGGAACUUUGCUGUCAUGUAAUCAGUUUGUACAGAUUUGGGCCUUCUUUUGUAUGUAUAGAGUGACUUCACUGUAGCCCAUCCAGGGUCACAAUAGUUAAGUCAUUCCAUAGAAAUCAAAGGAGGUAUAAUCUUGUGAAACCUGCUUAAUAGGGAAAGCAUAGCCUUUGAAUCUAGAAGCUGAACUGGCUACGCAAACAUCUAAUAUUGACUUGAUUCCUUAGUCUGAUUGCCUACCUUUAGACUUGGAGAGUAAAACUUAUCUCUAGCAAAAUGAAAUAUACAUUUUAAUUAUGUUUUUAACACAUUUACCAUCUUCCUAAAAAAGCAUGUAUGCCUGGUACUCCUCUCCCAGCAAAAGGUAGCUGUUUCAACUCCCUCUGUGCUUAAUGUUUUCUCCCAGCUUCUCUUCCAGUAUUCAAGACGCAUGGGGAACUGGAGGACUGAUAAUGUGGCUGUUAAUUAAAUAAAUGUGCAUUGAGAUUCAAGAGGUUAGAGCCUACAGGACUUAACUGCAAACUGUUUUUUUCCAUACUCAAGAGGCAUGAGUCAGAUUUUGCAAAGUGAGUCAAAUCUAUCCUUAUAUUCAUUUGAAGACGCAGUAAUGGAUGUAGGGUUUGAAAUAGUGUUACACGUAGAAAUGGGUUAUUACACUGGCUGAGCUUGUAACGCUCUCUUGGUGUGGCAAGGGGAUCUGGAUGGACGUCCGUGGUUGGGAAUGUGGAAGGAUCAGAAGUUCAGUCCCUGGAAAGAGUGAGUAGUCCUGCAGCCUGGAGGGUGUGGAAAGAUUUUUUUUUUUUUUUUUUUUGUGGGAUUUGCUCAUACUUAAUGAUACUGAUGAACUGUGGUUGGUCUUCAGCAUAACGGCAGCAUGUGAGGGUGGUCCCUGGGCUUUGAAGUGACUGUGAGGAGAAACCUACUGAACACAUCCUUGGAGAUGCUUGUUCAGGACCUAAGCAUGCUUGCAAGAAGGGCAGUAUCCUACUAACGCCUUCUUUUAAAUAAAUCAGUUUAUUUUUAUUUUGCGUUUGUUCUCUCUAUCUUCAACAGGGUGGGUAGUGUUCCCGGCAAUCCAAUAAAGCUGUCCACUUAGGUCAAAUGUGCUGGAGCUGCAGCCCUUUGACAGGAUGUGACUCCUGCAUGUUUGGCUGGCUGUGUCAUGCACAAACACUCCCUUUCCUCUGGAGGAAUUACAUGACAAUUGAACGUAGAGGCACAGUCAACUUCCAAGGCUCUGUUUCUUCUGUGUUCCCAUGUUUCACCCUCCCUCUGAGAAAUCUCUAAUUUUGAUUGUGAAUCUUGACCAGGAAAUGAAUUUGAUGGCUCCAUUCUUACACGUCAGUCUUUGACUGGCCACAGUCAACAUCCUAAUAUUGUGCUCUGAAUCGUGAGUAAUACCUCCUGUCUGGCUUACAUCUUGAAUGAAAUGGAAGACAGGCAUGAGUUUGGUUCUCCUAUUCUUGUGUGUAAUCAAUCUAGAAAGAAUGCUUUAGAUUUGCUUCGCUUCCGCAUUUUUUUUUGUGAGGACCCUCUACAAAUAAAUGAUGGAAUUCAAAUGUAGCAGUUCAAAGAACAUCAUUGCUGUUCCUUAUUUGUGGUACAAAGAUGAGCUGGCAGCACCAGUUACAUGGUUCCCUGUUACUCACAGCCCCUAGUAGGGCUCUGGCUGCUUUUAAUUCUGCCUGUAGCUCAAACAGCUCUGAGAUUUGACUUUGAAGAACGCUGUGUUUUUUAGCAUUGUACAGUUUCUAGGUUGUUCAGCUCUCCAUUACCUUUUGUAGAGGUUUAUGUUUUAGAAGGAAGUGUAGGAAGAUUGGGAUUCAGUGCUUUCUUUUUUUUUUUUCCCCCUAGUUUAAUUUCUGCUAAAACUUUAUGACACAGAGAUGUAGAAUAAGCUGCAUAUACUAGUUUAUUUGUGCGGAAUUUGGUGGUAGGUUACUCUGCUUGUUUGUCACAUGUCCUACCAGGAUCCUAAGAGAUGUCCCCAGCCCCAGCUCAGUGUGUCUCCAGCAAAGUGCUGCUGACUGCAAGUGGGAGCGCACAGCAUUGAACAGACAUCAGUCGUGCCUGCAGCCCUGGUGUUCAGCAGCACAGCAUCUCUGUAUCCAGCCAGUGUCUCUUCACAACUGCUGCUCUGGGUUCAGUCCCUGAGGUUUUACUCUGUGCUCUUUUUACUCCUUUCCUAAUUCCUCAUUUGAAUGCCAUCUGUAUCAGUACAUGGCUGCAUUUCCACUAUGCAGUCACCCUGGAGGCAUUUUGUAUGUAGGAAUGCUAUAGAAAUUUUAUAGACUACAUAGGAACACUAUUCAUGGCCCAUGGUUAUGGAUGCCAGAGUACUCCAGUGAAGAUAAGUUAAUAAAUGAGCACUAAGUUUUGCUCAAGAUUUCUUUAACAGAGACACUUCCAGGACAGCACGAUAAACCCAUCAGCUGUGUUAUCAGCUAUGUGUCUUAUCUCUCAGCUAUUUAUCAGAAGUUCUUGUUGGACUGCUGAGUUAACACAGAAUUCUGCAAUAAUUGCUUUGUUUUAAUAUUUUAUUGCUUAUUGAAUGCCAGCAUAAUAGUUGAAUCUGUCACUUUCAACUUCCAGUCUACUGGAAUACAUGGUAGUAUCACACAAUUUAUGUAUGAAAUUCACCCUGUUGAUUCAUGGUUUGUUACUACCUAGUGUAAAAUAGAGAUGAUCUUUCUGACCCCAGCCUCGUAAAGUGAAUUAUCAUUAUGGUUUCCCCAUCUGUGCAUGUAAUGUAUGUGUUUUAGCAAGCGUUUGUCAAAAGGGUAUUGAGUCCUUCAGUGCUUAAGAGGUCACCUUAUUAAAAGCGAGCCUGUACUACAACGCCUUUUUACUCCUUUUUUCCAUUUCUAGGUCAGAUGAUUCAGGUUUUCCUCAGUGCUUUUAACCUUGUGCCAUCUGAGCGGCUUGCUUGAGGGGCAGCAAUGCUUCUGACAAAACUCUACCUUCAGUAGGAUGGUUCUGUUUCACUGUCUCGUUUUCUUCUGCAAUUUUGACUCUUAGUUUCUUGCCCUUUCUUUUGUUCCUUUGUUUUUUCUCAGGACUCAGCUAGUAUCCUAAUGAGUGCUUCUCUUCAGUUUUCUUUACCUCUCACAUUUUCCUCUCUUAGCGUAGAAGUCCAUACUUGAACUAGGGAAGAAAAACAAACCAGCACAGGCCUAUGGCUCUUGCCAUCCAUCAGCUGUUAUGGAAAUGUAGACAUGAUUGCUAGUGACAGGACAAAAAACAGAGUAUUGUAACGUUUCUUAUUCUCACUUGAACAAAAAAUUCUCUAGCUUGCUGGAUGUCACCUGAUUGUAUUUUGUUUGUAUUUUGAAGGUCCAUAACCUUCUGUUGUGAAAUAGGAGAGCAUUCCCAGAGCACUUGCGGAUCGUGCUACUUUUCAAGUACCUAAAAUAGACUUUAAAACACUGUUAGGAGUGUGAAAGCAUAUGGGAGCACGCAGGUAGCUGUCUUGUUUGGGGGCAGAGCAAUUGGAGAAGGGGUGGCAGAACUGUGUUUAAAGCUAUUCUGCCUUGAUCCUGCAGUGCUCAUCCAGUAGAGAAAUUCUGCAUUGAUGAGAUCUUUGCUGGAGCAGUUGCUGUAUUUGGAAAGCAUGAAGUAAUUCAGACUUUAAAAUUUGUUUUGUUUUGAAUUGAAGGUGAUGGGCUUGCAUGAAAGUUACGUUGGUGUAAAUGAAAGCUGAGUUUGGUCCUUUCUGUUCUGUGCUUCUUAGCCACGUGAUACGUUUCCAUAAAUCAUGCACUUGAAAGGUUUUCUUGCUUCCUGCUUUUACCAGUCAGAUCAUAUAAAAUGCAGAUGAACCGAGCUUCUGGUUUAUAAGCCUCAGCAGAGCACCCCCUCCAAAUCCCCUUCUGUCACACCAGCCCUGCUUCCCCUGUUUGAAAAGGAGAUAGCAAGAGUGACUAACUGAAGCUACUACAGUGGAGUUUUUUGGUCUCCUCCCUUUCUUAUUUUGACCUGUACUUUGCUUUCGUUAUAAAGUGAACGUAGAAAUUACCCGGUGGGAGUGGUGAAACUGCAGCAGAGAAACAAAAACUAUUUGGAUUCUCCCGAAAGCUAUUCAUUCGCUUGCUCUUCUUUUUAUUAACGGCUCGAAGCAUGCAGCUUGUCUUGUUCUGACUACGUAUCCCUCAGCAAGAACGGAGAGUGCCCCAAAUGAUGAGAGGAUUGCUCUGCAAGUCUCCAGUGAAGAGUUUUUUGUUUGCUUUCCUUAAAGCCACCUAAGAAACUCCAUACACGCUAGGGAUAUUGAGGGGCGGUUGCAGGAAGCUGCUACAGGGAAGGAGGCUUACAGUUUCCUAAAGGUUUGGGACUGUGCGAUGAAGCAGCCUAUUUUAGAUGCUACGGAGAAUGUUCAGAGCAACAUGGUCAAAAGCCUUAGGCACCAUCUCUGCAGUGGGCUUGGUGCAAGCAGAUGAGUCGGCAGCAUUCCAGCGAGGAGGAUGGACGGCCCUGAGAGCCUUUGCCACGGCCAUGGGCAGCGCUCAGGUGUGUAGCAUUGUACUGCGUGGCACAAGGUUGCUUUGGGGUUACAGCAGUAAAUCUGUCAGAACGAAUCGUGUUCUGGAAGUGGUGUAAGGGCUCUCUUCUGGGCAAAGCCCCUUGCCAGUGUCUAAUCUGCGCCUUAAUGCUACGCUUGGUAAAUCCAAGCUGGCAAUUCUGCCUAACUGUGGAUGGAGAUGCCAACAUCAAAAUACCUUUCUUGAUAAAGAACAGUGGAACCUUCCGUGUCCACAGUCAGAAUGAAAAGCCUUAUAAAGGCUUUAUUCCUUUUUCUAAUCCUCAUUACACUUAUGGAUGUGCAGUAUGGGUGGCAUUUGGCACUGGUACAAAGACAAUAACUUCGUACAUGUGCCCAUACCUGUUGACAACUGCACAGGGUUCAGUUACUGGCACAUGAGUGAUGCUUCUGAGACACCUCAUGGGACGUUCCCAUGGGGCUGGCAGGUACAUCAGGAGUUUUCUGGGAGUAUCCCAGUGUUGUGGAAUGUUAGUUGCAGGCCAAGUACAGCACCUGACAUGACAGGAGGCAUAGGUGCUAUUUUUAGGCAAAUAAUUCUAGUUCUGAGUCUGCUGAGGGGUGUGAUAGUGCUCUACAGGUACUGCUGUGUUGACUGGGUCUCUACUGAGUGUUUCCCGUGUUAUAUUUCAUCCACACAUAAGGGGAAAUAAAUAUGAAUAAGGAAUAGUGUAAAAAUUAAAAGCACUUUCACAUCCUUGCAAUGAACAUCUCAGAACUUGGAAUAGUGAAUUGGGGUGCAAAGAAAUUUCAGCAUUUUUUAUACAGCUGGAAUCUGAUGCAGAAGAAAAUCAUGAGGCCCAGGGCCAGUAAAUUCUUAUGAGUGUGAUAAUAUUUAUUGCUUACAUUUUCCAUAUAAAUUCAUCAAGUCAUCAUCGAAUGGUGUGAGUCGGAAGGGACGUUAAAGGCAAUCAUGUUUCAACCUCCAAAUUUGAGUAUCAAGAUCACAUAUUUCCCCAUUAUGCUUUAUUUAUUAUUUUUAAUUAGAAUUUUUGGUUGUGUUUUGUCAUGUCGUAGUAAAUAGUGAAUUGUUCUUCUGUGGGAGUAGAGGAGAACAUACAUUUUGAGCCAAAAGACUGCAGCACCUAAGAAAAUUGGGCUUCUGUUUUUAAUUGCCAAUUUCUUUCUCUUUCCUGUCAGCCUUGAUUUAAAGGGAAAAAAAAUCAACAAGCCCAUUGUGAUGCUUUUGAUUAGGUUUCAACAGAGAUGAUAAAAGUAUAGUGUCCUUUUGUGAAAGGAGUUUUUAAUUAUUGUUAAUUGUACUUGCUAGCUUCAUUUCUGAAGGGAAACGGAGGUGACCUCAUUCCAAAAGUUGUCAGUCUCAUGCUAGUGUCAUUCACCGCCUGGAAAAGAUGUUGUUCUUUUGUUUCUUUUUGCUUUUCUUAAUGAGGAGCUGUCAGCUGGCCUGAUGGUCCCUGCAGCUUUGGAAACACUUUCCAAACUCAGUUUCAGUAGCUUUCUUGUUUCUGAAAUGUUCAGCUUAAACAACAGGGCUGAAUUACGUCAGAGGAGCACAGGAACAGUGGAGGAUUUCAGAUGUGUGGUCGGCCUGUCUGCUUGAUAACAUCUCUAACAGCAGCAAGUAUGGAAGAUCUGGGGAGAGGUUAUGGAGUUCUUGUUUUAAGGACAGUUGCAGAGAUUUGAGGAAUCGCGUGUCUUGUUUUUUCAUGCACAUGAUUGCUCUUGAAUGUUUUUCAUUAUUUACCCAAAGGCCUGAUCUGUGAACCCUUAGAAGAUCUCACCUCUGGUAUUCUUGUGGCAUUGAGCUCCACAUUUGACCUGUGCUUACAAAGGCAAUGAGUAUUCCCCCACUCUCCAGGCCAUAAACCAUGCACGGCAGUGGGAGUUCUAUUUGUUCGUGCACGUUGCUGCUCUCAGUGCAUUAAGACCAGUGUCCAGUUGGGAUUGUAUUAUAAGUAGCUAAAUAUAUACAUAAUUUUAGUUCAUUGUAUAUUUCCUUACAGUAAGAGAAGGAUGAGCAGGAGCGCUUCUUUUGUCUCUCUUCAUAGUUCUUCAUUUCACACACUGUUUCUUUGUUUCAUUUUACAUGAACUGCCUCUAAAUACUUGAAACUUUACAAUUCCAUUUCAGUUAAUCCAGUGCAGUCUGCCUCUGUGUCUGCUGUAUCUCAGCCUUACUCAGAAUCCCCAUUUCUCAUCAGUACCUCCAUACUCUCUCAUAAAGAUGCUAUGAUAAGCUUGGCUGGCAAGUUGAUCCCACCUUUGUUGCCUGUUGCACAGCAAUGCAUAGAGUCAGAUUUUCACAACUGUUGUCUUUUAACAUCAGACUCCAUGUGAGAUCAUCAUCAGUGAGUCUCCUGAACCCCUGGGCUGGAUCUUUGCUCAGUUAUUGCUCAAGCAAACUCUUGCUGACUUUAAUCACUCUGCUACUUUUCUGUCACAGAUGCUUAUUUAAAGCUGCUGAUUCCUCCUCAGUACUAAAACGAUUGACUUGGAGACAAAGAGCAAGGUGCCAGCAGGUCCCUCUGCAAGGGAAUUAGUGUUCCACUAUUUAGUUUUCUAACAGUGGCCUGGAGAAAUCUGUAAGGUCAGUGAGUUACAUUCAGUGGAUAUCAUCACUACUUGGCUAAAUUUAGCAUUGUGAACCGCAGCCUGGAGCACCCAGUUCAUCUCAUUCCUUUGCUUUCUGCUGCUCAUUAUAAGACAGGUUUCAGGUCUCAGCGAUAUGAGACGUUAGGGCUGUCUGAAAAGGUUUUUAUUCUGUGGCAUCCAACGUUUCAUUUGGGCAACAGGAACAGAAGUUUUCUUGGAGGAAGGAAGACACAUGUUUCAGUUAGAACACUGAACUCUGGUCACCUUACACCAGCUUGAUUUUGUCUUCCUUUCUGCCAUCUGCAGCACGGGGUUAACAGCUGCGCCUUAAAGGUUUAUGCUGAAAUCACAGAAUCGUGACAUUUUGUUAAGAUUUCUGCAAUUUUGUCAAAAUAAAUGCAAAAUAGAAAUACUAUUAAAUUUUUUCAUCUCCCAGACAGAAGUGAGUUUGGUGUCUUGCAUUGCUUUAUUUCCUAUUUGUAAAAGGUGUGGGACUGUUCUCAUCUUUCAUAAAAUGGUAGAAUCAUUUGAGUUGGAAGGGACCUUUAAAGGCCAUCUAGUCCAACUCCCCUGCAGUGAACAGGGACACCUACAGCUCUGUCUACUUUCUCCAAAUCUGAGUUAUCAUGUGAGGUACUCUGCCUGCUGAAGGUGCGUUCAGACAGAAGCUGUAGGGUGUCGUUUCUGAAAUGGUGAGUACUGUGUUGGGGACCUGUGUGUAUCAGCACAAGGUGUACAGUUCAUCACAGUGAACAGAAAAGCAGAAUAUGAAGUCCUGCCCCUCAUUUUCACAAACUGUUGCAGGAAUUGUAGCUUAUGAGGUAUUUCUUGAGUCAUCAGACUGUCUUUUGUACAGUUUGUCUCCCAGAUUCUGAAAGGGAACGAAUGAGCCACUUCUACCUACUGACAUUAAAGGCUCUUCAGAAAGAGUUACCCUGCCUAGAAGAGAUGCAGAGAGAUUUCUUAACACUAAACUGCCCAAAGAUGAAUGAGGAGCUGUAUCCUGAGUUCAGAUGGAGAGUAUAUCUUCUCCCUACCAAAGAAUAUUUUCAAGUGCUGGAGAGAAAGCAAGCAUGGAUGUUGUGGUGGCAGAUGCAGAGCUGUGGGAGAGCAGGUUUAUUCUUGUCUUUCACAUCUUUACAGCUUCCCACGUUGCUUUUUGUCCGUGGGCAUGGGACGCAUACGCUUCAUGUAGGCAAAACUUGAAUAAAAUGGGAAAACUACUUAGAACUGCCCCAGGGCAAAAAGAAAUGGCGGCAAGAAUACCAAAGGAUUGAGCAACCUGGGCAUGUUGUUUCUUUUAAGGAUUCUGACUAUAAAUGACGUCACUUAGAUAGUUGGGAUGUUUGUGAGCACUACAGGGCUUGGAAAGGGAAAGCCAAUUGGAAAAACACUGGGAAGCUGAACAAUUUGUUAUGUUUUAUGACUCCGUGGUAGUUAAUGGGGCAGCCAUUACUCAUGCGCUGUCACUGCACAUCUAGAAAAUUCCUCUGGGUUUCAAAACUGGCAGGAAAAAGUAGUUUCCUAAAAACCACUGAAUUAAUGAGACAAAGCCUAUUGCUCAGUCCCGGACAGGAAGGGUCAGAGGCGGAGUUAUGCACAACUCGCAGAGUUGGAAAUCUUCCAUGCGUGAUGUUUCAAAGAGCAGAAAGUGCUGGGGGGAAUUAGUGGUGCAGAAGGCAGGCUUAGCAUCUCUCUUUCAUAACAAACUACUGUCGAUCUGGGGAGAAAAGAGCUUGAUUGGAUUGUAGCAGAUCAUUUUUUUUCCAUUCCCUUACCUCCAUAAGUGUCUGGUACUGAGGUGCAGAACUGCUAAAGAGAUGGGAUUUGAGUAAAGCGUGUCUUACUCAUGGGCAAUAGCACAAGGCAGUGUACCAGCAAUACUGAAACUUGAACUUAAGGACGUGUGCUUACAGAAGAGAAAAAAGCAUUUGUUUUUUAUCUUCAUUAUACAACUUUGUGUUUUCACAGUUUUAUAAUUCAUUUUCACGUCUGUCGUUUUUCUGGCUUUCUGCUUUGUAUGCGAGGGUUAUUCCAUAGGUUUAAACAGUGCAGUUUGCUUAUUUACUUCAGUGAUUUUAGUUAUUUCAACCUAUCCUGUCUCAUCCGUACAGGGUACACAUUAUCUUCAUCUUAACUGGAAACUGAAUACCCAUUUUAUGGUCCUUGAAAGCAGGAUGAGUGCUGUUUCAGUUGGCUGUUUUACAGCUCAGUGUAAACAGAGGACUGCUUCCGCCUGGAAACGCAAGUGGAUCUGUUCUCCAGCAAACUCCUGGCACACCUCCUCUCGUGCAGAAAGUGCUGAUUGUUCAUUGGCUAUAAGGGAAAUCUAUAGAGUGCCUGAGGUACAAUACAGUGAUUAAUAAUAGAGUCAGCAAGACGCUGUAACAAUUCUGCUGCAAGUUUGUUGUGUAUUACAGUACCUCAAACAUAAUUGCAUUCAUUCCUCCAUUUAUUUCACUCUGUGCUUCUAUUUUGCAUCCAUUUUGCUUUCUGUUUGUUACUCUCCUUGCAGUUACAUCCAAGGUUCUACUUACUCUUUCUCCUAUACACACACUUUCAUCCAGAUUAUUAGCAGUUUCACACAGACAGAGGUAACAGCAGAAGUGGUGUAUUUUUAGCUUCACGUCAUUAGCUGUGUACAUGCAGCAUGCAGUCUUUUGAAACAGGCAGUACUGAGAAGGUUCUGAAUUUUCUGAAAAGCACGUAGAUGCUGAGCUUUACGUCCUUGGAUUUUUGCUCUUGGUUAUGGAACUCACUGUCUGGGCCAGAAUGAGGAAAUACUUCCUGUAUCUGCUGUGAAAAAGUGCUGGAUCACAGAAUAGCUCAGUUUUCACCACAGCCGAAAAGGAACUUUGAACCAUGACUGCAGCAGUUGAGGAACACUUCAGGACUUAUGAGGAUAGCAGCAGUGUGAUGUAAUUCUCAUUAUUUUGGACUCAGAGCAAUCAGGAUAGAGGGAGGCACUUCCAAGAAACCUUGUUUGUGAUGUGUUAAACAAAUGUUGGGGCACCAGUAAACGCAGUCAUGUGUGUAUUUGGGCAGCAAGCACAGAAGUGCUCAGAUGAGCUCUGAGAGGACUUGUCAGGGUGCCAGGAGUAGUGUGGCCACUUUAAGAGUCGUGGUGUUGUGCUGAAUGUCCACUGCUUCCAUAUUUUGGGCUGGACGGAGGGUGUAGCAGGAGGCUAUGAUGGUAUAAAACACAGCUCUCUUGCUUUCAGGGUAGGAGCUCUCGUAGCAAGACUGCUGCCUCCUUACUGCCUUGUUAGGGAAGGAGCUCUAGUGUCAGCAUUGUUUUUGUCGUGUCAUAUAUUCAUCAAAGUUGAAAAAGACUUCUAAGAUCAUCUAGACUAACUGUAAAGCCAUCACUACCAUGCCCACUAACCACAUCUCUCAGUGCCAUAUUUCCCCUUUUCUUAAACACCCCCAGGGACGGUGACUCCACCACCUCUCUGGGCAGCCUGUUCCGGUGCCUCACUACUCUUUCUGAGGAUAAAUUUUUCCUAAUAUCCAACCUGAGUGGUGGGUUCCAGGCUCUUUCAGGGGACUUGCCUGAUGUUCAUGCUGAUGGUUUGUUUUGUUUGUUUGUUUGUUUGUUUGUUUGUUUUACCUAAAUGCGAGUUGUGGUUGAGUCUAGAUGAGAAUCGCUCCAGAUGGGACGCCUUUAAUCAUGAGCAGCAGGUCACACCAGGCUCUAAGACCAUACAUUGACACCCAAGCAACUACUUGAGUUUGAUCACUCCAGGCUUCUCCAUUCUGCCCAAAUUUAGGCAGAAUAAAAGAAAACCUGACACUUAACUCACUGUCUCUCCCUUUAAAUCCCUUACCCUGCAGUGUGAGCUGGGGGGAGAGGACUGGCUGGCAGCACGGUGACAGGCCACAUGUCUGGCACCCUGCCUGGUGGCGAGGGGUGCUCGCCAUGCAGCCGUCUGCGCAGACAGUCAUGUCGUGCUGCUCUGUGCUGAGUCACCCAUUAAACAGAAAGACUGUGGGCUUCCUGAAGCUCCAGUCACGUGUAUUGUGCACCAGUAAAAAAAAUUUUGGCUUGCUGCUGUUAGAAACCUAACUUAAUUUUACCAUUAAAGAGGGCUUAAUAUAGUCUACUAAUGUUAUCAUUGUUCGCCUCAUUUCCCUUCUCUGCUGAUUGUGUCUCCUUCCCUGUUUUCUCUCCAUGCUGAAAGGAAGCUGCUAGAACAGCCAGCAUUGCUGAGAGGCAGACCAUGCCUCUGGAGGAUGCUGUUCUGUGCCGGAAUGUGGGCACUUUGCACAGUCUGGUAGCACAACCCCACACCAUGCCAAGUUGUCCUCCUGUCACCUGCUCUACACUUGGAGUUUGUAUGCAGAUCUGUGUGCAUACCACAUUCAUAUCCCUAUCAGGUUAUCCUUCUGAAGACUGCCUUCUCCUUUUUUCUCUUUUUUUCUUCUAUCUUAUUUUGCCAGGCCCUUUUCUGCUGCUGACGUUACUUACUUUCCCAGUCAUCGCUUUGACAGUUAUAUCCUUUUAACCUUCACAGUUGCUACAGUAGACAAUUGUGGGGAUAAUUCAGAAUGAAUUUACUUGGCCAGUAUUAAAACCACAAAGAAAUCCAAAGUAAUUCUGUGCAAAAGGAAUCCCUUGAUGAAAUUAUUUGCAAGGGGCUGAAAGGGGAAUACAUUGUGAAAACCCAGUCCAGCUGCAAGGCAGUGGCCUUGGGGACACCACUGUGGGCUGGUGGCUGCAUAUGUCACGUCAAACCUGUUCUUACCACUGCACAAUGAAUGCAGAAUGGUCAGCAUUGCUGAGCAGGGAGUGGACCUUGCCGACAGAUGCUUACUGCUAUUUAUGUUGUGUGUUACCUCAGUGAGUUUUGUGUCUUUAGUGCAGUUCUGUUCUCUGUUCAGUUCCCCUUUUCUCAUCGUGUCUAAGAAAUGAAAUUGAAUUUGCAAAUUAUUACAAAUUGGUAUUAGGAUGCCUGUUAACGGAUCAGACUAAAUGAAAGGCAUGCCAUGAAAUAAGUGAGCUCAUUUAGUAAUUGAUGAAUUAAUUUCAUUAUCCCUCUAUUGCAGAUAGGAGAAUUCAAAUGCGGGCCAAAUAAAGACCUUUACUCUACUAAGUCACCAGGAUUGUUUUGAUUUGUUCUGUCACGGUUUACUGUUCCUUAGUAGCCACAUUUUUACAAGUAGUAUGUUGCACCAUUCAUUAAAGACCACUUCUAGGCUAGCUUCUGUAUCCUGAAUUCAUUUGAAGCUUCAAAGUUUGUAGUCAGUUUUCCUUAGCACUAAUUCUUCAUCCUUAUCUUCUUUUCCCUGUGUAAACAUUCAAUACAUUGUCCAGGUUGAAUGUUUAUCUUGACACGGUGUCCUUAAUUUUUGUGAUCUCUGCUAAUCAUAUUCUUAAUACAUUAAUCAGAAGGUCUUCUACGCAACAGCAUCCUCUCUGUACACAUUCUGCAUCUUCCCUCUUGGAAGUUUUCUCCCCUAGCACAUAUUUGGCUACUGCUGCAGUCAAGUUGCAGGUGCACAGAGGUGUGCAUCAUUUCAUCCGUCUCCUGAGACGUUUCCCUGACUUUGACACAUCUGAACUGACAGCGGUCAGCUGCAGCUCAGUAUCACUUGAACAGAAAGGAGCUUUCUCCUAUGCAGGCCUCCUGUAAAUGCUGCAGAAAUACCUUAAAGCCUCUGUUUUAAGGUUGUACCUUCCUAUGAUGCCUGGAGUAGAUAGGCUAUCAAGCUGGUAAUCUGCCUGUAUGGGAGAUUUUGUUGUCUGAUUAUUCCUUAUACUUUCUUCUCUUUUGGUAUCUCUUUACUCUUUCUUAUCUCAGGCACUAAAACAGAAAACAAACUGCUUUGAUUCUGAUCUGCAUGAAACUCUCAGAUUGAUGUAUGUUGGUCCAUCAUCAGGACUCUGCCUUGCUACAGCAGUUUUACAGAACUUCCCCUGGAAACUACAGGGAGCCCUAAUAUCUCCGUAAUGAAAUAGCUUUACCAUGUGCUCAACUUGAGUUUCUCAAGUCCCAGAGAAAAUAAGACCAGAAAUGUCAGCCUUCUUUGUUUUGAUGCUCAAUCGACAAUUUGCUGACUUUAUUUGUAGCUUCGAAAUCAUAGAAUCAUAGAAUCGCUAAGGUUGGAAAAGAC
rnacentral:lncRNA from 1 species